UGAGGUUGAUCCAGGUUUAUCCGAAUAUGC
rnacentral:piRNA from 1 species